GAUGAACGCUGACAGAAUGCUUAACACAUGCAAGUCAACUUGUGUCGGACGGGUGAGUAACGCGUAAAGAACUUGCCUCACAGGUACGGACGACAUUUGGAAACGAAUGCUAAUACUUAAUACUGUGAGAGAGUUUUGCGUCCCAUUAGCUAGUUGGGGAGUUAACGGCGCGCCAAGGCGAGGAGGGGUAGCCGGGCGGCGAGGGUGAUCGGCCAAAAGGGGACUGAGAGACGGCCCUUACGACUACGGGGGGAAGCAGUGAGGAAUAAGGGACCAUGGACGAAAGGUGAAUACAGCCUUUGGGUGUGAAAGAUGAAGUUUUCGGAAUGUAAAGUGCUUUCAGUUGGGAAGCGGUACCGAAAGAGGAAGCGACGGCUAAAUACGUGCCAGCAGCCGCGGUAAUUC
rnacentral:rRNA from 1 species